UACGAAGGGUGCAAGCGUUACUCGGAAUUACUGGGCGUAAAGCGUGCGUAGGUGGUUCGUUAAGUCUGGUGUGAAAGCCCUGGGCUCAACCUGGGAAUGGCAUUGGAUACUGGCGACCUAGAGUGCGGUAGAGGGGUGUGGAAUUCCCGGUGUAGCAGUGAAAUGCGUAGAUAUCGGGAGGAACAUCUGUGGCGAAGGCGACACCCUGGACCAGCACUGACACUGAGGCACGAAAGCGUGGGGAGCAAACAGG
rnacentral:rRNA from 1 species